GACGAACCGUCCAAACGUUAUUCGGAAUCACUGGGCUUACAGAGUUCGUAGGCGGUCCCAAAAGUUAGGUGUGAAAUCCCUCGGCUCAACCGAGGAACUGCGCUUAAAACUGUGGGACUCGAGGGAGAUAGAGGAAAGCGGAACUGAUGGUGGAGCGGUGAAAUGCGUUGAUAUCAUCAGGAACACCGGUGGCGAAGGCGGCUUUCUGGGUCUUACCUGGACGCUGAGACGCGAAAGCGUGGGGAGCAAACAGG
rnacentral:rRNA from 1 species